rnacentral:lncRNA from 1 species
AACAAAACCCAGAGUCUCUGGGGAAAAAAAAAAAAAAAAAAAAAAAAAAAAAAAAGGAAAGGAAAGGAAAGGGAAAGGGAAAAAAAAAACCUCCUGCACUCUCGAUUGUCGCUCGGUUCUCAGAGUCAGGUUUUGCAGUCGGGAUUCAUCGCAGCCCCAAAAUCAGCGAGCAAAGUGCCCCCCCUGCUAAACCUGCCUUCAUCCCCUCUGCCUCUCAGGGUGUCCCCAGCUCAGGGCGCUGGGGGGGCUCCGCUUUGGGGCCGCUGGCAGCCGGGGAACCCGAGCGGUGCGGAUCGCUCCCCGCUGGCCCGAGGUUUCGGCUGCCCUCUGUGCUCAGCCAAGCACCGGACCUUUCCCCGAGCUGGAGGGCAGCAUUACCCAGCGGGGCACGGCGCUAGGAACAAAAAGAAGCGCGUGAAUGCCGCCUCCUGCCUUCACUCUGCCCUACAACCAGAGACCCCCCGGCUCCCCCUGCCCGCCCUCAGGAGCCGCCGGCUCGGCCCCGUUGCCCCCCGGCAGGACUCGGGGCGCAGGCCCCGGCCCCCGGCCCUGCCCCGGGCUCCCCCCAGGUGCCCCCAUGCAGCAGCCCCGCGGCCCGCCCGGCCCCUCGCCGCCACCCGGCGCCCGGAGCCCGCAAUGGCGGGCGGGGAGGGACCCCUAGCGUCCGAGCCGCCCGGGCCCGGCUCCCAUCGCCGGGGCUGCGGCACCCUCUGCUGCUCGCCCGCCGCAUCCCCGGCCCCGCCGGCAGCGAAGGAGGGCAGGGGGGCGGCGGGGGUGCGAGCCCCCUGUGCAGGGCUCCUGCACCUCAAGCCCUGGCGGAGAAUAAAACCAGUGCGGCUCAGCACGCUGCGUGUGGCCUCGGGUCGUGCUCCCCUGCGGUUAGGUAGCGCCUGGGGUGCUGAGGAGUUCCCUGUGCUCAUCUUUGUCCCCAGCCAGGCUCCUUGUCCUCCCCGGCCAGCCCCACACCACACCAAAAGCAGAGGGAUUUCCACACGGGAUGUCCCAAAAGGGGCCUGCAAUGCUGGGUGA